rnacentral:rRNA from 1 species
CCCAAGGAUGGGGCCGCGGCCGAUCAGGUUGUUGGUGAGGUAAUGGCCCACCAAGCCUUUAACCGGUACGGGCCGUGGGAGCGGUAGCCCGGAGAUGGGCACUGAGACAAGGGCCCAGGCCCUACGGGGCGCAGCAGUCGCGAAAACUUCGCAAUAAGCGAAAGCUUGACGGGGCCAUCCCGAGUGCCAUCUGCUGAGGAUGGCUUUUACCUAGUAUAGAUAGCUGGGGGAAUAAGGAGAGGGCAAGUCUGGUGUCAGCCGCCGCGGUAAUACCAGCUCUCCGAGUUGUAGGGAUGUUUAUUGGGCCUAAAGCAUCCGUAGCCGGCUGGACAAGUCCUCUGUUAAAUCCAGCGACCAAUCGUUGGUCUGCGGGGGAUACUGUCCGGCUUGGGGGCGGGAGAGGCCGUCGGUAUUCCUGGGGUAGGGGUGAAAUCCUAUAAUCCCAGGAGGACCACCAGUGGCGAAGGCUGUCGGCUAGAACGCGCCCGACGGUGAGGGAUGAAAGCUGGGGGAGCGAACCGGAUUAGAUACCCGGGUAGUCCCAGCUGUAAACGAU